rnacentral:rRNA from 1 species
GACGAACGCUGGCGGCGUGCUUAACACAUGCAAGUCGAACGGAAAGGCCCGGCGUUUGUGGGGUUCUCGAUUGGCGAACGGGGGAGUAACACGUGAGUAAACUGCCCCUGACUUUGGGAUAACUUCAGGAAACUGGGGCUAAUACCGGAGAGAAUCUCUUGCUGCGUGGUGGGGGUUGGAAAGUGUCGGCCGUGGUGGAUGGACUAGCUGCUUAUCAGCUGGUUGGUGGGGUAGUGGCUGACCAAGGCUUUGACGGGUAGCCGGCCUGAGAGGGUGAACGGCCUCAUUGGGCCUGAGAUACGGACCAGACUCCUACGGGCGGCAGCAGUGGGGAAUAUUGCAGAGUGGCGGGAAGUCUGAUGCAGCAACGCCGCGUGCGUGAUGACGGCCUUCGGGUUGUAAACCGCUUUCGAAUGUGACGAAGCGUGAGUGACGGUAAUGGGUCAAGAAGCACCGGCUAACUACGUG